GAUUAGUCCCUGACGCUAAGGAAAGGCUGGCGGCUAGAAAAGGAGAAUCUUUUCUCCUCUUGUUCAGGAGCUCUGGUGACCUGAGGGCCUGCUUGACAAUUUUCUGAAACCCUGGAGGGUGCCUGAUUAAUCCUAGGAAGAAGUUCUUGAAAGACUCUGACUGUUGAACUUUUGCCUGCAACUCAGGGAAAUGCUCUGUGUUGUCUCGAGACCAGUGGUCAUUCCAGGAGAUCUCCAGGCCUCCAAGAGUUCUUCAUACAAGGUCUCCGACAUGGUAGGCAAGAGCGCAAACAGCGCUGACAGACCUCCAAGGAAGAGAAGCAGACAGGUGACCUCCACCAAUUUAUUUACAUAGCUUGAACGUGAAGUCACUGGCUGAGAGGUGGUGGUUCUACACCAUCCAGUAGAACUGGCAGACGUGAGAACCGUGCAAGGCAAAGCCGAAAGAUUUACGUCAGAAGAUUACAUAAGCAGCUACUGGAGAUUCCAGUUAAGGUGCUGUAGAACAAAAGCAAGGCCAGAGAUCCAGAGUAAAAUCCAAGCGUAAAAUCUUUGUGAUACUUUUUCUGAAGACCAAUCGAGAAAGCGCAAUGGACUCAUGAAGCUGCCUUCUACUGACUCAGACCAUCGGCCCAUCAGGGCUGUAAGAAGCAUUUCGUUGGAUGACGGAAUGUGGGAAGAGUCUCUUAGACAAAGAAAUCUGAAACAGUAUCACAGGCAGCUUUGCUGUUGAGGCUUAUCAGGACCCACUAUUUUCAACAAUUUUAGAAAUUGAUGAAAGUUUCAAUUUAACGCCUGCAAGAUUGAAGAGAUGGUCUCCAGAAUGUAAUUCGUCUGCAUUCGAGAUUCGGACCGCACUAGCACUUUAUUCUUCCCACGGAGUCGGAUGAACGUCUUUGAGCGCUUUAAAGUCAGAAAUUGACGCAUAUGAACUGAGAGUCCUUUUAUGAACUUUAUUUCUAUCUUUGCACAUUGUAUUGGAGUUGUAUGAUCUUUUGUAGAAUGGAAUGAAUUUUUGUAGAAGGCUAAUGAAUUGCAUUGUAAUAUUGUAGAAUUGUUGAAUUUCUAUUGAAUAUAUUUUUGAAUUGUUAAGUA